UGGGGAAUUUUGGACAAUGGGCGAAAGCCUGAUCCAGCAAUGCCGCGUGUGUGAAGAAGGCCUUCGGGUUGUAAAGCACUUUUGUCCGGAAAGAAAUCCUCUGGGUUAAUACCUCGGAGGGAUGACGGUACCGGAAGAAUAAGCACCGGCUAACUACGUGCCAGCAGCCGCGGUAAUACGUAGGGUGCAAGCGUUAAUCGGAAUUACUGGGCGUAAAGCGUGCGCAGGCGGUUUGCUAAGACCGAUGUGAAAUCCCCGGGCUCAACCUGGGAACUGCAUUGGUGACUGGCAGGCUAGAGUAUGGCAGAGGGGGUAGAAUUCCACGUGUAGCAGUGAAAUGCGUAGAGAUGUGGAGGAAUACCGAUGGCGAAGGCAGCCCCCUGGGCCAAUACUGACGCUCAUGCACGAAAGCGUGGGGAGCAAACAGGAUUAGAUACCCUGGUAGUCCACGCCCUAAACGAUGUCAACUAGUUGUUGGGGAUUCAUUUCCUUAGUAACGUAGCUAACGCGUGAAGUUGACCGCCUGGGGAGUACGGUCGCAAGAUU
rnacentral:rRNA from 1 species